rnacentral:rRNA from 1 species
UACGGAGGGUGCAAGCGUUAUCCGGAUUUACUGGGUUUAAAGGGUGCGUAGGUGGGUAGGAAAGUCAGUGGUGAAAUCUUCGGGCUUAACCCGGAAACUGCCAUUGAUACUAUUUAUCUUGAAUACUUUGGAGGUAAGCGGAAUAUGUCAUGUAGCGGUGAAAAUGCUUAGAUAUGACAUAGAACACCAAUUGCGAAGGCAGCUUACUACACAGUUAUUGACACUGAGGCACGAAAGCGUGGGGAUCAAACAGG